GCCAUUGCCGGGUCAUACACAUGCAGUCGUACGAGAAAUCCCGGGCUUGCUCGGGAAAGUAAAGUGGCGCACGGGUGAGUAACGCGUGGGUAACCCACCUCCGAAUCGGGAAUAACUCCGCGAAAGUGGAGCUAAUACCCGGUAAGACCACGUCCUGCCCGCAGGAUGGGGUAAAAGCUGACCUCUCCACGGAAGUUGGCGUUCGGAGACGGGCCCGCGUCCUAUCAGCUAGUUGGUAGGGUAAUGGCCUACCAAGGCAACGACGGGUAGCUGGUCUGAGAGGAUGAUCAGCCACACUGGAACUGGAACACGGUCCAGACUCCUACGGGAGGCAGCAGUGAGGAAUUUUGCGCAAUGGGCGAAAGCCUGACGCAGCAACGCCGCGUGAGCGAAGAAGGCCUUCGGGUCGUAAAGCCCUGUCAGGUGGGAAGAACCGUUCCGGCACGAAUACUGCUGGAACCUGACGGUACCACCAGAGGAAGCACCGGCCAACUCCGUGCCAGCAGCCGCGGUAAUACGGAGGGUGCGAGCGUUGUUCGGAAUCAUUGGGCGUAAAGGGCGUGUAGGCGGUUAGGUAAGUCAGAUGUGAAAGCCCUGGGCUCAACCCAGGAAGUGCAUUUGAAACUACUUGACUUGAGUACGGGAGAGGACGGGGGAAUUCCCGGUGUAGAGGUGAAAUUCGUAGAUAUCGGGAGGAAUACCGGUGGCGAAGGCGCCCGUCUGGACCGAUACUGACGCUGAGACGCGAAAGCGUGGGGAGCAAACAGGAUUAGAUACCCUGGUAGUCCACGCCGUAAACGAUGAGCACUAGGUGUAGCGGGUAUUGACCCUUGCUGUGCCGUAGCUAACGCAUUAAGUGCUCCGCCUGGGGAUUACGGUCGCAAGACUAAAACUCAAAGGAAUUGACGG
rnacentral:rRNA from 1 species